CACUUCUCAACACCUCUCAACACCUCUCAAUACCUCUCAAUACCUCGCAACACCUCUCAACACCUUUCAACACCCCGCAACACCCCUCAACACCUCGCAACACCUCGCAACACCUCUCAACACCUCGCAACACCUCUCAACACCUCGCAACACCUCUCAACACCUCGCAACACCUCUCAACACCUCAGAGCUGUAAGGAUGUUACGACACAUUUGGGGUUGUGUGGUGUUUCUGGAUCCUUCAGGGGUGCAGUGAUGGGUGAGCUCAGCUGCCCCAGUGCAUCGUGGGGGAGAGAGGGUGUGAAGGCUCUCGUGCUCUAUUCGCUCCUAGUAGUCGGUAAGUGAGGUUUUCUUCAAAAAAUCUAUUGUAUUGAAAAUACGUUUUUUUAUUAUUUUUUAAUGAAAAAUCUAUAUAUGAUAUAUAGGUUUUUUAUGAGUGUAUAUAUACCAACAAUUUAUCUGCUACCCUUUUCACGUGUUUAAAAUAGCUGAUAUUUGUGAUUUACAGUAGGUGUAGGCCUAACAAUUUAUGUGAAAUUGAUGUGAAAUAUACCAAAGAGAAAGAGACACAAACCAGUCAAUAUUUCCCUCCUCUCCUUUUCUGUCGAUCUCUUUAUCUCAUCCACCAGUACACACAUCCCAUGCCCAGCCUCCCCUCCCUCUCUCCCUCCUGGCCAAAAUCAUUGUCCCCCCUCCCUGGCACGCUCUGCCCCUGUCGCAAGCUGAUCUUGGCCCACUGUUCUCCAACUCCAGCCCCUUUGCCUUCACCCAGUCCCUGCUCAUGGUGCCUCCGGCUGGGACAGCCUCCAAAGCGGGGGUCCGGGCUUCAUUCGGGCCUUACUCUGUCAGCCAGCUGGUCUCUGGGCCCAUCCUCCCCCUCUCCCCUCCUCUGACUGCGUCUCUCCUCUCUAAACACGUGGAGAGAGAGGGGGAUGAAGGAGGAAAGGAGAGGUACAGGGUGCGGGUGUUGUUCCACGUACGAGGGGGCACCAGCAGGGGGCGCUGUAUCACCCUCCACGCCUUCAAAGAGACCGAGGAGCAGAAGGCUUCCUGUGUCACACAGCCUCCACUGGGUCUGUGUGUGGUGACCCUGGCCCUACCUAAGGACUGGUUUGAGGCGGGCCAGACCAGCCAGCCCUACCUCAGCCCCAAACAGCGUGCCAGGCGCACACACCGACACCGCACUCGUAAUCGGGGACGACGGCACGACGGUGUUGUCGUCAUUGGAGCCGGUGGCAUCCCCUUCCCAGGCGCUCUCCGAUACAGCCCCGCCCACGCCGGCGACCGCAUCCAGCUGUACUACUCAUUGUUCGGCAUGGCGUCCAACCUCAAACUAGCGCCCCCUAGGUGUGUGCAGGACAAAUUACCACAGUCUCAGAGAGAGUUGUUUUAUAUAGCAGCUGUGACUCUGAGGGAGGACAAUAAGCGGAACAAGGCCAACAGAACCAAAGAGGAAAUAGGCUGUUGCAAUGGACAGGAAGAGGAGGAGCUAUGGUUGGAUUCCAACGUGCUGAUUCGCUAUCGCAGGGGACCAGUCAGAGCGGGACAGCCAAUUGGGGUUUCUGUGAACCUGAGGGCCAAUUUCAGUGCAGAGUUUGUUGUUAUCCGGUAAGUCUUUGUUACGUGAUGCUCUGUGAUGUAAGUGAUAAUCCAGCAAAUUGAAAAGGGAGAACUGAUGACGACCUAAACACAUAUAGGAA
rnacentral:lncRNA from 13 species